rnacentral:rRNA from 1 species
UCCCUAGUACGAGAGGACCGGGAUGGACGAACCUCUGGUGUGCCAGUUGUACCGCCAGGUGCAUGGCUGGUUGGCUACGUUCGGAAGUGAUAACCGCUGAACGCAUCUAAGCGGGAAGCACGUUUCAAGAUGAGGUUUCCCACCCACUUGAUGGGGUAAGGCCCCCUACAGACCAUGGGGUUGAUAGGCCGGAGGUGUACAGCAGCAAUGCCCAGCCGACCGGUACUAAUAGGCCGAGGGCUUGUCAUA